GGCAGAGCCAAAACCGUAACAGCCAGAGCUAGAGACUCCGGCCUGGGGUUCUGGCUCUGUCCCGUAUCAGCUAGGAAACCCAGGGCAAGCUACUUAAACUCUCAGAGGCUCAGCUUUUUCAUGAGCAAACAGGAAAACAGGGCUAAUGAUUAGUCCUUGGCUUAAAAUACAUACCGCGUGUGAAAUUGCAGAAAAGCUUCAAUUGCAGCACAAAUAAUGUAUGUUUUCUGAACCAUCUGAGGGCGAGUUAUCAACACUUACUCUCCAAUGCGUCAUCACCCCCAACACUCCUGUGUAUUUCCUGCAAAUAAGGAUCUUCUCCUACAUGGUCAGUCCGAACAACCUUCAGUCACAACUGAGAAGGUCACAUGGUGCAUCACUGCCGCUCAGUCUCCCCAAGCCCAGUGAUUUCUUCACAAUUAGGGAUCUGAGACCCGCAGUAUGGCAGUGACAAGAUCCAAGUCUUGGGACACCUAGCCAGGAGGGAAGAAUUUGAGGGAGAGGUGGAAAAUAUGCGAGGCUGAACUGACCUUCAAGGACAAGAAGGCUGUGUUCAGAUAGACAGAGUUUGUCUUCUGGGAGAGGAGUGGGCUUAUCCAGGAUGAUCCCAAAGGCAGAUUGAGGACCAGUGGGAGGACAUCCUGAGAAAGCAGAUCCAGCUUUAGGCAAGGAAGGACUUCGUAACAGGCAGAGAGCCCAUGUUGGAAACAAGCAGCUCUGCAAGGUGUGGGCCCACUGUCUGACUCCCUGCGGGGCUGCUGCCUUGGAAGAGCCUCCUGCUUAGAGAGGUUCUCCUGCCGCCAGCUGUCUCUCCUGAGUCCUGAGCACCACAUCUCUGGACCGUCUGGAGCCUCCCCUCCCUUGGCUUACUGCUCCCACCACCCUCUCUCUCCACCUUGCAAGAGACACUCUCCCUCAUCCUGGGUCAUCACCCUCUUUAGAGGCGCCGCCUGGCCACGAGGUGGGCAGGAUCUUGGCCUUACUUGAUGCAGUGCACACCUCCAACAGGCAUCAGAUGGAGUGCAGCCGGGAGCAAGAUUCUCAUAGCAAUUACAAAGAUUCACAAGAAAAUGUGCCCUCCACUACACAGCUGUAAUUUACAUGCUUUCAAACUUGAUAUGGAAUGACUGUGGUUUCCCCUGAAAGAAGCAUCACUGAUCUCUGCACAGGAGAAACAAGGAUCUUGCUCUGUCACCUAGGCUGGAGUGCAAUGGCACACUCACGGCUCACUGCAGCGUCAAACUCCCAGGCUCAAGUGUUCCUCCUACCUCAGCCUCCUGAGUAGCUAGGACCACAGCACAGGCCCAGACACAAAGCAGAUGUGCAGUGGAGUGUGAAAGAGGCAGCCAACUCACUGGGGAGCUUCAGAGGGAGAUGGCCCAAAUUGCUGGGGCCUAAGAAUCUCCCGGAAUGAAGGAACAGUAGAAAGAACUGGAAGCCAAAUAUGGUGAUAGAGACUCUCAUCAAGGACACUGAGUAAACCAGAAACCUGCUUGGGCUCACGUUCCUUGUCUCUUCUUCUCAGAUCCAGGAAAGGAGCUGUCCAGGACAAUGAGGAUAGGCUGAGGAAAGACAGGCCACGGCCUUGCCUCUGUGCCAGCUCUCAUGGGCCAGGCAGAGUAUCCCAGGACAACUGCCUCCACAACCAGCUCCAUCCUUCAUCAGCAAUUCAGUACCUGAUUAACAAAUCUGUACCCCAGGAGGUUAUGCCAAGUCCAACUUCUUCCAGAGACCACAACAAUAAAUCCAAGCCACUGCUAAUGUCAUUUAUAAGCUGUGGGAUUAAAACAGAGAAGCAAUCAAUUAAUUAAAA
rnacentral:lncRNA from 1 species